UACGUAGGGGGCAAGCGUUGUCCGGAUUUAUUGGGCGUAAAGGGCGCGUAGGCGGUGCUUUAAGUUUGGAGUGACAGUGGGUGGCUUAACUACCCAAGGCCUUUGAAAACUGGAGCACUUGAGGACCAGAGAGGGACAUAGAAUUCCGGGUGGAGUGGUGAAAUGCGUAGAUAUCCGGAGGAAUACCAAAGGCGAAGGCAGUGUCCUGGAGGGUGACUGACGCUGAGGCGCGAAAGCUAGGGGAGCGAACAGG
rnacentral:rRNA from 1 species